UCCUGGGUGGCUCAGACAGUAAAGAAUCUGCCUGUAAUGCAGGAGUCCCAGGUUCGAUCCCUGGGUCGAGAA
rfam:Ovis aries breed Texel chromosome 18, whole genome shotgun sequence.